UGACGUCACCAGCCUCCGACGCCCUAUUUCCGAGCUGCACCAGAGCAUGAGGUGAGGGGUUCGGGUCUGAAGCCGGCCUCGGGUGACGCUGGCCCUGGAAAGGUGCAGCUGGUGAGGGGGCAGUAGUGUCCCGGGUGAUGUAGAAAACCUGACGGUACCGCGGCGGGACUCGUGCUCUUCUUUCUUGCCCAAUGAGCGCAAAAAGGCCACCAGGUCAUUCAUCUCCUUGUCCACCGGCCGCUAAGCCGAGGCCGGAGCCCUUGGGUAGGGGGCUGGUCAAAUGCAUGGUGAGGGCUGAUGCACCCAGUGGUAGGAUUGGAUAGCAUGAGAAGUGCCGGGAUUAGGUUCCCAUUACCACAAAAAUCUUUUCAUAGUUUAAACCACAUAUUACAGAUGGAAAACGGACGCCUACAUUUACUUCAAACAACACAGUAAAGCCUUGUCAAAAUACUGAAGCUUUUAGUUAUAGGCAUGGCAUAUGGCAGUACACUAUGAUAGACAUCCUAACAGUAUACUAAGGUCAUAUGGGAAGGGACAAAUCUCAUGUAUCCAGACCAACCUGGAGGAUGACUUUAAUUUCUGAUCUGCUUUCUGAGUGCCUGCACCACUGUGCCCAGGCUAUGUAGUGCUGAAAGCCCAUGAAUUUGCUUGUGCUUGCUAGGUACACUUCUAGCUAAACUGUAUCCCCAGCUUUCAGGUCAUUUUUAACCAAGCUUUUGUUUUUUUUUUUGUUUGUUUGUUUGUUUGUUUGUUUUUGAGGUCUGGUCUCAAAUGCAUCCCAGGCUGGCCUUGAACUUUUAAUCCUCCUAUUUCCUCAUGCUGAGAUUACAGAAUCGUAUGGAAGCUAUUUGGAUUCUCAAGAAGACUUUUGCAAGUGGAAUGGUGUCACCCCAGUGAAUCAAUAUUGUUGUUUACCCUGGUGCCGAGACUUAGGAAAGCGCCUUCUGUUUUCUUGUUGGGUCAAAGACAAGGACUCUCAACCAUGCCAGAAAUAGAAGCAAGUGUGAGAGAUAGUGAAUUAUUUUCACCACCCUCUGACGUUCGAGGAAUGAGAGAACUUGAUAGAACAGCUUUUAAGAAGACAGUGUCCAUCCCUGUGCUUAAAGCGAGGAAAGAAGUAGUCAACAGAUUGAUGCGAGCCCUCAGGAGAGUAGCCCUGCAGCGCCCGGGCAUAAAGCGAGUGAUUGAGGAUCCCAAGGAUGAAGACAGUAGGCUGAUCAUGUUGGACCCCUACAGGAUGCUUACUGCUGAUUCCUUUGACAAAGCAGAACUCGGAGUUUUAAAAGAACUUGAUGUCAGCCCACAGUUAUCCCAGUACAACUUGGAACUAACAUAUGAAAAUUUUAAGUCAGAAGAAAUUUUGAAAGCUGUGCUUCCUGAAGGUCAAGAUGUAACCUCUGGAUUCAGCAGGGUUGGGCAUAUUGCACACCUGAAUCUCCGAGAUCACCAGCUGCCCUUCAAGCAUUUAAUUGGCCAAGUUAUGGUUGACAAAAACCCAGGAAUCACCUCAGCAGUAAAUAAAACCAGCAACAUUGACAAUACGUACCGAAAUUUCCAAAUGGAAGUGCUGUGUGGAGAGGAAAAUAUGCUGACCAAGGUUCGAGAAAACAACUACACGUAUGAGUUUGAUUUCUCUAAAGUCUACUGGAAUCCUCGUCUCUCUACUGAACAUGGCCGGAUCACUGAACUUCUCAACCCUGGAGAUGUCUUGUUUGAUGUUUUUGCUGGGGUUGGGCCCUUUGCCAUUCCAGCAGCAAGGAAAAACUGCACAGUGUUUGCCAAUGAUCUCAAUCCUGAGUCCCAUAAAUGGCUGUUGCACAAUUGUAAACUGAAUAAAGUUGACCAGAAAGUGAAAGUCUUUAACAUGGAUGGAAAAGACUUCAUCCAAGGGCCAGUCAGAGAAGAGUUAAUGCUUCGGCUAGGAUUGUCAGCUGAAGCUAAACCCUCUGUCCACAUUGUCAUGAACUUGCCAGCUAAGGCCAUAGAGUUUCUCAGUGUUUUCAGAUCACUUUUGGAUGGGCAGCCUUGCAGCACGGAGCUCCUCCCCACAGUGCACUGUUACUGCUUCUCCAAAGAUAGCGAUCCUGCUAAGGAUGUUCGUCAGCAGGCGGAAGCUGUGCUGGGCGUUUCCUUGGAGACCAGUAGUUCAGUUCAUCUCGUAAGGAAUGUGGCCCCUAACAAGGAGAUGCUGUGCAUCACCUUCCAGAUUCCCACUGCUACACUCUACAGGAACCAAAGCCUCAGUCUACAGAAUGACCAAGAACCACCUCUUAAACGGCAGAAGACAGGUGACCCGUUCUCAGGAGAACCACAGAUCGCAUCAGAUUCUUAGUUUGAAAUGUUUUCUCCAUCUCCCCAGUAGACUUUAUGUAAAGAAGUACAAUUUGUAAGAGCUCUCAGAUAUCAGCACAAAAGUUUCUUUGUGUAAUGGAUGGUGACUAAGGCAGAACCUCACCUUCACUGCUCAACCAUAAAGAGACAUCAGUAUCAUCACCACCACUACCACCCCUACAAGGCUCAGGAACCAUCACAGAAGAGGGAGCAAGAAGAUUUUAAGAGCCAGAGAUCAGAAGGGACUAGAGUUCCCGAAAGUGCUCUGAAAAUGACAGGACCACUGCACUCAUAAACUCAUGGCAUGUGUGGCUGCUUGUACAAAAUAAAGCUGGUAAACAUCCUAAGACAGGGAGGGGUAGCUUUUAAAGGAUGAGCCCCUGGAAUGUCAACCAUGCUCCAGUGGAUGAUCCCACCCCCAGGAAUAUAUGGCCAAAAGAUGCAAACUUGGGAGGGGUGAGAAGGGAGGGGUGGGUCUGGGAAGAAUAAUGAGGAAAAUAUGAUCAAAAUGUGUUCUAUGAAUCUCUCAAAAGUGUCUUCCAAGUUAUGGAUAUGCUUGGGUAAUGUUCUAGUUUCACUUCCGUUGCUGUGGCAGAGAGCAACUUAAGGGAAAAAGGGGUUUAUUUCAGCUAAUACUUUGAGACCAUAGUCCAUCACUGUGAAGAAGUCAGGGCAAGAACAUCCUCUAUCUGAGCAGAAAGGAAUGAAUGCAUAUGUAUACUUGCUCACAUUCACCCUGAUUGCCACUUAGCUCAGGACCUCUAGUUGGCAAUGGUGCUGCCCACAGCAGCCUGGGACUUCCUUCCCCCCAUAGACACGCCCACAGGCCAACUCAACAGACAGACAUUCUUCCUACGUGAUAUGCUUCUAGGUUGUCAAGUUGAUAAAAAUGAAAACUAACCAUCAUAUUUGAUAUCAUAUGUUUAUGGACUGAGACCAAUAUUUGGUAGAAUUUGACUAUUAAAUAAUCAGAAUUCAAAUUAAAGAUAUUACCAUAAAAAUUGUGCUUAUUACAUCUUGACUUUUAUCAAUAAAAUUACAGCAAGUUGCUUAAUCUCAUGAUGUAA